rnacentral:ncRNA from 1 species
UUUAUAAAAUAAUAAAAUUUAAUUUUUAUUUAUUAAUUUAUUUUAUCAUUAAAAAUAUAAAUAAAUUUUUAUGAAUUAAUUAAAUAAAUAUUUAAAAAAUAUUUAAUUAUUAGAUUAAUUAAUAUUUAUAAUAAUUAAAAUUAAUUAAAAUUAAGAAUAGUAAUUGAUAAUAUAUAAUAAUAAAUUUUGUGCCAGCAAUUGCGGUUAAACAAAGAUUAUUAGUAAAUUAAAUCAAAUGUGGUAAUAAUUAAAAAUUUAAUAAUAAUAUUUAAUAAAAUUUUAUUAGGUGAAAUUUUUAAAAUUUAUUUAGAUAUUAUGUAAAUAGAUGAAUAAAAAAUUUAUUAAGUUAACAUAGAAACUAGGAUUAGAUACCCUAUUAUUUUAAUUAAUUGGAAGUGUUUGAUUAUUAAUUUUAUUAAAGGUAAAUUUAAAUAAUUUGGCGGUAUUUUAAAAAUUUAGAGGAACUUGUUAAAUAAUUGAUAGUCCACGAUAAGAUUUACUUAAUAAAUUUUUAUGUAUUGUUGUUUGAAAAUUAUUUUAAUAGAAAUAAAUUUAUAAUUUUAAUAAAAUAUAAUUCAAAUCAAAAUGUAGAAUUAUUAAGAUAAUAAUGAGUUACAGUUUAAAAUAAUAUAAAAAUGAUAUUUUUAAUAAUAUUGUGAAAAAGGAUUUAAAUGUAAAUUUUAAAAAUUAUUAAAAUUGAAUUAAAUAAAUGAAAUAUGUACAAAUUGCCCGUCAUUUUCAUUAAAAAAUAAGUGAAAGAAGUCGUAACAAAGUAAAUGUAUAGGAAUAUGCAUUUAGAU